AUCCAGUUGACGGGUCCCAGAAUAAGACGAAACGCACGUCCUCGAU
rnacentral:hammerhead_ribozyme from 1 species